rnacentral:rRNA from 1 species
UUUUCCUACGGGGGGCAGCAGUGGGGAAUAUUGCACAAUGGGGGGAACCCUGAUGCAGCAACGCCGCGUGAAGGAAGAAGGCUUUCGGGUUGUAAACUUCUAUCAAUAGGGACGAAAAGAAUGACGGUACCUAAAUAAGAAGCCCCGGCUAACUACGUGCCAGCAGCCGCGGUAAUACGUAGGGGGCAAGCGUUAUCCGGAAUUACUGGGUGUAAAGGGAGCGUAGGCGGCAUGGUAAGCCAGAUGUGAAAGCCCGCGGCUUAACCGCGCGGAUUGCAUUUGGAACUAUCAAGCUAGAGUACAGG